UCGGAUAUGGUGUAACGGCUAACAUUUCCGCCUUUCACGCGGAAGCUCGGGGUUCGAUUCCCCGUAUCCGAG
rnacentral:tRNA from 1 species